AAGAGACAGCAGCCGCCACGGUAAUACGGAGGGUGCAAGCGUUAAUCGGAAUUACUGGGCGUAAAGCGUGCGCAGGCGGUUUGUUAAGACAGAUGUGAAAUCCCCGGGCUCAACCUGGGAACUGCAUUUGUGACUGGCAAGCUAGAGUAUGGCAGAGGGGGGUGGGAUUCCGCGUGUAGCAGUGAAAUGCGUAGAUAUGCGGAGGAACACCGAUGGCGAAGGCAGCCCCCUGGGCCAAUACUGACGCUCAUGCACGAAAUCAUGGGGAGCAAACAGGAUUAGAUACCCCCGUAGUCCCUGUCUCUUAUAC
rnacentral:rRNA from 1 species